rnacentral:misc_RNA from 1 species
GAUGAAGAACGUAGCGAAAUGCGAUAAGUAAUGUGAAUUGCAGAAUUCAGUGAAUCAUCGAAUCUUUGAACGCACCUUGCGCCCUUUGGACAUUCCGAAGGGCAUGCCUGUUUGAGUAUCAUGAACACCUCAACUCUCACGGCUUGUCCGUGAUGAGCUUGGACUUUGGGGGUCUUGCCGGCCUGUGGUCGGCUCCUCUCAAAUGGAUCAGCUUGCCAGUGUUUGGUGGCAUCACAGGUGUGAUAACUAUCUGCGCUUGUGGUUUUCCAUCAGAUAACCUUCAGUGAUAUGAAGGUUCGCUGGAGCUCACAAAUGUCUCUCCUUAGUGAGGACAGCUCUUUGAAUGUUUGAUCUCAAAUCAGGUAGGACUACCCGCUGAACUUAAGCAUAUCAAUAAGCGGAGGA